rnacentral:rRNA from 1 species
UACGGAGGGGGGCGAGCGUUGUUCGGAAUUAUUGGGCGUAAAGGGCGCGUAGGCGGUCGGAUAAGUCUUGUGUGAAAUCUUCGGGCUCAACUCGAAGUCUGCACAGGAAACUAUCUGGCUUGAGUGUGGGAGAGGUGAGUGGAAUUCCUGGUGUAGCGGUGAAAUGCGUAGAUAUCAGGAGGAACACCUGUGGCGAAAGCGGCUCACUGGACCACAACUGACGCUGAGGCGCGAAAGCUAGGGGAGCAAACAGG